rnacentral:lncRNA from 1 species
GGGGGAGAGGCCCUGCAACACCCAAAUGUGCCCCCACAGCCAUGUUAGGGACAGGAAGAAAAUCUCGCCCUAACAUGAGCAAAGUCGAAGGCCCGGUUCUCCUUAGAUCGGAUGGGGGGAGAGGCCCUGCAACGCCCACAUGUGCCCCCACAGCCAUGUUAGGGACAGGAAGAAAACCUCGCCCUAACAUGAGCAAAGUCGAAGGCCCGGUUCCUCUUAGACCAGAUGGGG